rnacentral:rRNA from 1 species
CGCUCCUCGUGAUAUAAAAUUGAGGAGUCGGACCUGCCCGGUGAAAAUUUUUAACGGCCGCGGUACUCUGACCGUGCAAAGGUAGCAUAAUCAUUUGCCUUAUAAUUGAAGGCUAGUAUGAAUGGUUUGACGAGAAUAUUACUGUCUCUACUUGAUUUAUUAGAAAUUUAUCUUUAGGUGAAGAAGCCUGAAUGAAAUUAAAAGACAAGAAGACCCUAUCGAGCUUGAAAUAAGUUAAUAGAUUAAGAACAAUAGUCUAAUAGAAGUAUCAACUAUUAAACAUUUUGGUUGGGGCGACUAAGGAACAAACAAAGCUUCCUCAUAUAAGAACAGGUUUACUAACACUGAUCCAAAAAUUUUGAUUAAUGGAAUUAGUUACCGUAGGGAUAACAGCAUUAUCUUUUUUGAGAGCUCUAAUCGAAAAAAAGGUUUGUGACCUCGAUGUUGGACCAGAAUAUCCCAAAGGUGUAGCAGCCUUUAAAGGUUGGUCUGUUCGACCAUUAAAAUUCU